rnacentral:rRNA from 1 species
AUUGAACGCUGGCGGCAUGCCUUACACAUGCAAGUCGAACGGCAGCACGGGAGCAAUCCUGGUGGCGAGUGGCGAACGGGUGAGUAAUGUAUCGGAACGUGCCCAGUCGUGGGGGGAUAACGCAGCGAAAGCUGUGCUAAUACCGCAUACGAUCUAUGGAUGAAAGCGGGGGAUCGCAAGACCUCGCGCGAUUGGAGCGGCCGAUAUCAGAUUAGCUAGUUGGUGGGGUAAAGGCUCACCAAGGCGACGAUCUGUAGCUGGUCUGAGAGGACGACCAGCCACACUGGAACUGAGACACGGUCCAGACUCCUACGGGAGGCAGCAGUGGGGAAUUUUGGACAAUGGGCGCAAGCCUGAUCCAGCAAUGCCGCGUGCAGGAUGAAGGCCUUC